UCCAGGAGUCGCAAGUUAUCUUGGGACCUCAAAAGGAGAGGAAUUUACUCAACUCACAGGAUAUAUUAUUCAACCCAUCCACAAGAGCAUCUCUCCAGGAGAAAUAAACAGGCGUUACUUUUGAUGAACUAGAGCUAUUCUAAGUAAAGCCUUCAGAUGAGUUCAGCACCAAUCAACAUUCUGAAUGCAACCACGUGAGGACCCUGAGUCAGGUCCACUGAGUCAAGCUGCUUUGGAAUUCCUGACCUACAGAAACCGAAUACCAGGAUAGAGAGAAAGAGAAGCCACAAUGAUACCACAGAAAGAAAGCUAGACAUCUUCAUUCAGGUGAGAGAAAGAGUGGAAGAAGAGAAAACUAAUCCAGUGCUGGAUGCUUCCUUCUGCUCCUCCUGCCCUUUGACAUCAGAUUCAAGGUUCUUUGGCCUCUGGACUUGGGACUUGCACCAGUGGCUUGCCAGGGGCUCUUGGGCCUUUGGCCACAGACUGAAGGCUGCACCGUCAGCUUCCUUGGUUUUGAGGCUUUCAGUCUUGGACUGAGCACUGGCUUCUCUCUUCCCUAGCUUACAGACAGCCUGUCGUGGGACUUUGGCUUGUAAUUAUGUGAGCCAAUUUUCCCUAAUAAACUCUCUUUCAUGUAUACAUAUAUCCUAUU
rnacentral:lncRNA from 1 species